rnacentral:rRNA from 1 species
CCUACGGGAGGCAGCAGUGAGGAAUAUUGGUCAAUGGGCGAGAGCCUGAACCAGCCAAGUCGCGUGAAGGAUGACGGCCCUACGGGUUGUAAACUUCUUUUGUCAGGGAGUAAUUGGGUCCACGCGUGGGCUUAGCGAGAGUACAUGAAGAAAAAGCAUCGGUUACCUCCGUGCCAGCAGCCCGGGUAAUACGGAGGAUGCGAGCGUUAUCCGGAUUUACUGGGUGUAAAGGGAGCGUAGGCGGAAGCAUAAGUCAGAAGUGAAAUUUCGGGGCUUAACCCCAGAACUGAUUUGGAAACUGGGAGGCUAGAGUACAGGAGAGGUGAGUGGAAUUCGUGGUGUAGCGGUGAAAUGCGUAGAUAUUAGGAAGAACGCCGAUGGCGAAGGCAGUUUACUGGACUGUAACUGACAUUGAGGCUCGAAAGCGUGGGGAGCAAACAGGAUUAGAUACCCGAGUAGUC